AAACCUGCGAAACUCGAAUGAACGAACGGAGAGAUUCAUCGACAUCCGGCGGCGUACGGGCGCGCGCCUCGAUGUCGCGCCUCCCCCCCUCGCGGGGUGCGUCGCGCGGCACGGGUCGCGUCCGUCGACGCCCGCCGGCGUCGUGCACUUCUCUCUCAGUAACACAUCGCGACCCGUUCGACGUCGGCCUAAGCGCCGCCCGGGACCGCGGCGGUGGCCGGCCGGCUGCCGGACGGUAGUACGAAAUCGUGCAACACGACGAAUCGCGCACGCGCCUCGCGCGCGUCCGGCCCGACGCAAGCGAACGCCGUUUAACCUGUCGCGGUCCUGCCGUAGAGCGGACCGCGACGCGGCGCUGCUGCCGUCGCAGCCGUGCUGUCUCGGACCGUGCGCGUCUCAGUCGGCGAUGAUUC
rnacentral:rRNA from 1 species